GUGGGGAAUUUUGGGCAAUGGGCGAAAGCCUGACCCAGCAACGCCGCGUGGAGGAAGAAGAUUUUCGGAUCGUAAACUCCUGUCCGGGGGGACGAAGCAAGUGACGGUACCCCUGGAGGAAGCCCCGGCUAACUCCGUGCCAGCAGCCGCGGUAAUACGGGGGGGGCGAGCGUUGUUCGGAAUUACUGGGCGUAAAGGGCGCGUAGGCGGUUUCGGAAGUCAUGGGUGAAAGCCCCCGGCUCAACCGGGGAACGGCCUGUGAAACCACGGGACUGGAGUGCUGGAGAGGAGAGUGGAAUUCCCAGUGUAGCGGUGAAAUGCGUAGAUAUUGGGAGGAACAUCUGAGGCGAAGGCGGCUCUCUGGACAGACACUGACGCUGAGGCGCGAAAGCCAGGGGAGCAAACGGGAUUAGAUACCCGAGUAGUCC
rnacentral:rRNA from 1 species